CAGAAUAUAGCUUAAUAAAAGCAUUUUGCUUACACCAAAAUAAUAUUUUACCACUAAAUUAUUCUG
rnacentral:tRNA from 1 species